rnacentral:rRNA from 1 species
AAUGAACGCUGGCGGCAUGCCUAACACAUGCAAGUCGAACGAAGGCUUCGGCCUUAGUGGCGCACGGGUGCGUAACGCGUGGGAAUCUGCCCUCAGGUUCGGAAUAACAGCGAGAAAUUGCUGCUAAUACCGGAUGAUAUCGCGAGAUCAAAGAUUUAUCGCCUGAGGAUGAGCCCGCGUAGGAUUAGCUAGAUGGUGUGGUAAAGGCGCACCAAGGCGACGAUCCUUAGCUGGUCUGAGAGGAUGAUCAGCCACACUGGGACUGAGACACGGCCCAGACUCCUACGGGAGGCAGCAGUGGGGAAUAUUGGACAAUGGGCGAAAGCUUGAUCCAGCAAUGCCGCGUGAGUGAUGAAGGCCUUAGGGUUGUAAAGCUCUUUUACCCGGGAUGAUAAUGACAGUACCGGGAGAAUAAGCUCCGGCUAACUCCGUGCCAGCCGCCGCAGUAA